AUUGAACGCUGGCGGCAGGCCUAACACAUGCAAGUCGAACGAGUGGCGGACGGGUGAGUAAUGUCUGGGACACUGCCUGAUGGCGGGGGAUAACUACUGGAAACGGUAGCUAAUACCGCAUACCAUCAGAUGUGCCCAGAUGGGAUUAGCUAGUGGGUGUGGUAACGGCUCACCCAGGCGACGAUCCCUAGCUGGUCUGAGAGGAUGACCAGCCACACUGGAACUGAGACACGGUCCAGACGCCUACGGGAGGCAGAAGUGGGGAAUAUUGCACAAUGGGCGAAAGCUUGAUGCAGCCAUGCCGCGUGUAUGAAGAAGGCCUUCGGGUUGUAAAGUACUUUCAGAGGGGAGGCGUUACCCGCAGAAGAAGCACCGGCUAACUCCGUGCCAGCAGCCGCGGUAAUUC
rnacentral:rRNA from 1 species